rnacentral:rRNA from 1 species
AUUGAACGCUGGCGGCAGGCCUAACACAUGCAAGUCGAGCGGCAGCGGGGGAAAGCUUGCUUCCCUGCCGGCGAGCGGCGGACGGGUGAGUAAUGUCUGGGAAACUGCCUGAUGGAGGGGGAUAACUACUGGAAACGGUAGCUAAUACCGCAUAACGUCUUCAGACCAAAGUGGGGGACCUUCGGGCCUCAUGCCAUCCGAUGUGCCCAGAUGGGAUUAGCUAGUAGGUGGGGUAACGGCUCACCUAGGCGACGAUCCCUAGCUGGUCUGAGAGGAUGACCAGCCCCACUGGAACUGAGACACGGUCCAGACUCCUACGGGAGGCAGCAGUGGGGAAUAUUGCACAAUGGGCGCAAGCCUGAUGCAGCCAUGCCGCGUGUAUGAAGAAGGCCUUCGGGUUGUAAAGUACUUUCAGCGGGGAGGAAGGUGUUGUGGUUAAUAACCGCAGCAAUUGACGUUACCCGCAGAAGAAGCACCGGCUAACUCCGUGCCAGCCGCCGCCGUAAGAC